CGGACAUUAGAGCUCAAGUCAAACCAGAAUCAAGUGAUUCAGCAGCGCCUCCACCUGGGGCGAUUACCUCUGUAGCACGGGGUAUUCUUGAUGGCAACGGCUAGCUCAUGUAUCAAGAAUGUAUUCGCUCUAAAUUGGAGGCCAUACCCUACAGGGUAUGAUCAGUGACUUUGGUGGGAGAAAUACAAAUGGGUAGUCAAACCAUCCGGCCAUCCGCGACUCGAUCGGCUUUUGUCAACGACUCUUCGCUUAAUUGACAGUCUUGUUGUGCGUAUGCCCAGUCUUUGACACUUUUCUCCUUAUCGUAACAAAUGGCCAUGUGUUUAGGCUCAGAUAUGUCAGGGCAGGGGACCCAUCGAUGAAUGACAUUCUUCAGGCAUAUCAUUUGCAUACUGGAUGGCAUCUAACC
rnacentral:lncRNA from 1 species